rnacentral:sRNA from 1 species
ACUACGCUGCGUGAGGGAUAGCAGUGGAGCUCUUUUUUAUCUUGCUUAUUUGCAAGAUAAAAAAAGCGGGAACGGAUAGCCCGACCCACU